CUUCUGCUACUUCUGCGAUUUCUGUGACUCCUGCGAUUUCUGCGACUUACCACCGUAUGAAAAAGUUACAUCUGUCCGCACAGAAAAUUGCAUCUCAACAAACCUGUCAUUGGUACCUGAACUACAUUUCAGUCACUCAGUAAAGUGAGAACUCAAAAUAUCAUUGUCAACAGAUCUGAAGAAAUUGCCACUGCGUCUUUAGACCGUUUUCGUCAGACGAGAGACGCAGUUCUGACUCUGAUUACUGGUUGCUGUACGUAUCUAUCCACAUCAAGGCUGUUGAGAGAGACUCGUGAAGAUUCAAGACAGCUCUUAGAGGAUUUGCAGUUUAAAAGUGAAAUAAGUG